CAUUGUUUCUUCUCCACCACCCCCCAACAAACCACCACCGCAUCGUGGCUGCUGUAUCCCCCCUCCCACCUGCGUUUCUCCCUCCAGCUGUGUGCCUCUCUUGCGUUUCAGAAAGCCGCCCCCGCAACCGCCUCCUCUCUUCUCCUCUCCCGCGCGCACCACCGCUGUUGCUGGCUCCCGUCCCACUGGACACUGCUAGGGAUAUGAUUCAACUUGGAGCUAUUGAGUUGGGCUCUGCUGUGGAUUAGUCAGCGAAGAAAAGUUGGAAAAAACAACUGAUUGGUUGUUGUUGCAUGUUCCGAGUCACUCGCCACUUGCACUAGCCGGCCAGGUUCAAAUUCUUAUUACCAGGUGCAGCUAUUAUUACCAGAACCAAUUCCAAAUUUUGUCUUUAAUCUAGUGCGUCAAACAAGAGGGUGGGGUCGAGUGUGGCUAUUACGUGAUGAAAUUCAUGCAUGACAUAUUCAAAAGUUGCAAGGAAGUUCAAGAUCUGGAAAAGGUUUUCAAAACUCCAAGAGAGGGGCCCUUUACCAAAAAGGAGUUGGAUGAAGUUCGAGACAAGUGGGCUAUUUACUUCAACGAUUGUGAACUACCCUCAGUGUAAUAAAUAGAGAAGACUUGUAGUUA